ensembl:lncRNA
UGCUCUCUAAAUAAAUAACACUGAAGGUUUAUUACAGCAGUGCUGUCCCUCGAGUUUACCAAAUCUGCUCAAAACAGCCAAGACAGGGGAAAACAGGGAUUUACCCCAAAAUAAAAGAACGAUUACAUCUUAGAUUCCUUUGAAUUUUUCAUAACUUAGUGGUUUGGGGAUGCAGUGUUUGAAAGAAAACGAGUUUCAGAAACAACAACGUUGUGCUAGAUUUAUGCCCCAACAGUUUGAGAGUUGGGAUUCAAGAGGCCAUUUGGGAUAUACACAGGUUUUCAGCAACUCUAGCACCACAGCGCCACACUGUGGUAGCAAAGAAACACAACUGCUUAGGUGUUUCUCUUUAAUUUUAAAAGCAUACAGCAGCAUUCACAAGUUUCACACAACACUUUGGCAGCAUUUAUGGUUUGCUUAAAGCCUGACACAUGUUAACUGUAGUUAGUGAAAGCUCACAAAAGCAUGUGCAAAUACAUAUGCAAUAUAUGCUUGGAGUGAACCACUGAUUAUUAUGUGGCUUCAGGAGAUAAAAUGUCUGAAACACUUGUAGUAACAUAUUUAGCCCAGUGGCAUUACCUUCACAGUAGUAUAGACGUAAUAAGCCUGUUGCAUAACACACCAGUUUGUAUUAGGUUGUCCCGACAGUAUUAAGAGUAAUAGAUAUCAGGGGGACCUAGGGGGCUGCACCCGCCCCAGCUGCCUUGGGUUUCAUUUCUGCACACGCUGCUCUGUGGAAUAAGGGACAACCAGCCGCACCACACAGUCUUCAGCCUUGUUCUAUUACAGUACCUCAGUAGUCUUUGACUAUAUACCUGUGUCAUUAUAAAUAAUUGUCCAACUUCAGUUAUUGUAAAAAAAUAUUUAAAAAAUACUGAAACUCCACCACUAUUAUUAAACUCCUUCAACUUUUCUCAAAGGGAAUGAUAACAGCGAUUGUCAGCUGCCAUAUAACAUUCAUAGUCCUUGACAACUUUGACCUAGUGGCCUUGAACACUCACUAAGGCACUUAAAACAAACAAAUGCACUUUUAUGGGUAUGUUAACACCGCUUUAGGCUGAAAUAUAAAGGUUAGGUCAAAUUUCAGUGACUGGUGUAAAGUAGC